AGCCCUGUUCCCCAACCUGAUUUGAAAUUUAUGCUGAUGAAACAAGAGAGAUUUUAAUAUAUGAUGGAAGGAAGUUGGAUUAACAUUGAUCUUCCUGGAAGGAUGAGUGCUCCAUCAUAAGCCAAUUUAACUGGUGAUCCUCUUUUGCUUGCCCCUGUACUACCAAGGCUCAGCUCUUCAUUCUUUAUGAAGCUUUCCUCGAACAGAGUGCACCUGCUGCCCCAGAGACCCAUUGUACAUUGUAUGACAACUCUGAUGCUCACAUUCAAUCAUUGGCCCCAUAAAGUUUGGCCUGGCCAUGAAAUCAUAAUCCCCUUUCCCUCUUCAGCUGAGCUCUCCACCAUCAGCCAUUGAACCAUCACUGGCAGCUGAAGAUCCUUAUUUUACAAAGACCAACCUCAUAUUUUGGACUGGGGCUUUCCUGAAUGACAACUGACCAUCUUCCCCGCAGUGACUAUUCAGAGUCUCAGCCAUUCUUCUCUGAGUGUACCUCAAAAACAGGUUUUCUAUUUGUCAAUUUGUACAGGGCUUUGGGUGCUGAAAACGAAAAUUCAGAACUAGAGCCUACAGCCAUUCU
rnacentral:lncRNA from 1 species